UUUUAGCAAUUUUCAAUGAUAGAUUCUUGACGGUACAUUCGUACUGAUUUUAAGAUAUUGGUAGAAUCUGAAAUCUUGUUUCAGUUUCAUUCUUGUUGGAUAUUGUAGCUUUCGGAAUAUCUGGUCAAUUCCUUCAACUUUUUCUUUUUAAUUUCUUUUCCUUUUUGGGCUAAAUUUGUUCAAUCUCUUCUGCUUUCUCUGCAUUGAAAUCAUGAAACUAUUCAACAACAAAUUAUCGCAUAGUAUUAGGUUAAAAUUUCACUGAAAAAAUAUUUAGUCUCAUCAGAUUUGAAAUUUCAGUGGAUAACUUCCUGGAAAUGAUGGAUAAAAAUUUCAUUGAAAAAAUUUAGGAAUUAUAUAAACUAACAAAUAAUAGUUGUUGAACAUGUUGAAGAAGAAAGAUGUAAUUUGCAAAAUAUGAUGUUAAUUCAUUGUUGCCCUGAAAGACAAGUGUGUUAUUGUUAUCCGUUUCUUCAUAAAAUCUUAUAGGAGUAGAAUUUUUACUUGGGGUUAGUUUCAAAGAAAAGAAAAAGCCCAAAACUUUAUUUCAAUAUGCAAUUGUAGUUGAAACUUUUUAAAUAGUCUAUUAUAUGAUGCAAUUG
rnacentral:misc_RNA from 1 species